CAUUAGCUUAAACCACAACAUAAUGCACAAAAUGUCUGGAAUCAGCUCACUCGGAAGAUAUAUAAUAGCACAACUUAAUGCAAAUUCCCCAGUGGGUGUUGCGAUCUUUGGCAAAUUUGUUUUCAUCCUCAAAAGAAACCUGUGACUCUGGUGGGACUCGAACCCACAACCUUUGAAUCACUUCACUACGCUAGAAGUCCAAUGCGCUAUCCAUUGCGCCACAGAGCCGUGCGUUAGGUUCCCUCGUCUGCUUUAAAGGACACUUUUAUGUUACCUAAACAGUGGCAUCCAUAUGCCGGAAGUUUUCUUGGGGAGUUAUAAAACAGUUGCCUAAGGUUGGAAAUUGCAGCUCCAUCUGGGGCGGAGAGCAAGAAGAAAAAGAGUUUAAAUGACUGAGGCGGGGGAGUUUAAAGCGGUCUAGCAAACAAAAGCUCCUUCUCUUACCAGAAGUGGGGUUCGAACCCACGCAGACAUAUGUCUAUUGGAUCUUAAGUCCAACGCCUUAACCACUCGGCCAUUCUGGUAAUUAUAGUGAAUUUUAAAAACACCAUGGAAUAAGCUGAGUAACUUCAGCCUUUUGACGCGCGAUACACCCGCCCCCCCUCCCCGCUGGACGAAGAGCGCCUCCAUUCAACAAGCUGCAUCGAGUAGUAGCAGAAGUUCAAAACCCAUCUCCUAGCUACCCUGCCUGCCAGGAUUAGUGCGUACGACAGAGUACUACUGGAAGGGGCACGUUUCACACGAACAAAUGUAGAUGCGUGCUCUCCGUCUCCACUCGAAACAUUAGUGCCAUUCUCAAACGAGGCCGCAAGGUGGCAGCACAACGAGCUGCGUCAAAGGCAGCAGCGCGCUGCGGGCGAUGCUUCCUGAGCAGAACUUUUAUCAGAAGCGAAGACAAAAAACAUUGGGAAGAGAGCUGGCAUCAUCCAAGUUCGAGGACCGAUUCCAGCCAGGCAAAAAACACUCAAGGAAGUUGUGAAGGUAAGGGAGUAGUGUGGACUGGGGAAGAGUGCUAGGGAGGGUGACUUCGAAAGUCCUGAGGCCAGUGACAAAGGCCUGACGUCCCACAUCCCUAAGCUAGAAAGACACUCCAUUUGUCAUCCCUGACAUGCCAUGGAAUCAGUCACAACUGAAACAAGCACUGCAAGCUUGCUUUCUAGGUAUACUCAGUUUAAAAGCCUACUUUACCCUUAUCCAGUCUAGAGUCCUAGCUUAGGGAAACAUAAAUGGUGAUCAUCCCCAGUCUUUUCUCCACAGUCACUGAUACUGACACACAGCACUGGGACUGAAGGAAUCCCAAGUCAAGUGAGAUUGUUGGCAGGGUUCAACAUUUAGCAGAAAGCAGGCGCUGUCUGUCUAGUAAGCAAACAAGGAUUUUCUUGCCCCUGCAAAAAACAGGACACACGCCUGGUGAACCUUAGAGAUUUCAGAAGAGCCUCGUCAGAACAAAGGCCAAAUGAA